rnacentral:rRNA from 1 species
CCUACGGGAGGCAGCAGUGAGGAAUAUUGGUCAAUGGGCGCGAGCCUGAACCAGCCAAGCAGCGUGAAGGAUGACUGCCCUACGGGUUGUAAACUUCUUUUAUCAAGGGAUAAAGUGAGGCCCGUGUGCCUUUUUGUAUGUACUUUAUGAAUAAGGAUCGGCUAACUCCGUGCCAGCAGCCGCGGUACUACGGAGGAUCCGAGCGUUAUCCGGAUUUAUUGGGUUUAAAGGGAGCGUAGAUGGGUUGUUAAGUCAGUUGUGAAAGGUUGGGGCUCAACCGUGAAAGUGCAUUUGAUACUGGCAGUCUUGAGUACAGUUGAGGUAGGCGGAAUGCGUGGUGUAGCGGUGAAAUGCGUAGAUAUCACGAAGAACACCGAUUGCGAAGGCAGCUUACUAGACUGCCACUGACAUUGAGGCGCGAAAGUGUGGGUAGCAAACAGGAUUAGAUACCCCAGUAGUC